rnacentral:sRNA from 1 species
GGACGUGUGGGCGGUCUGGCUACAGCUUCCACCCCCAUGGGUUAUCAAGGACGGGUCAGUUAGCCAGUCUAGACUGGGCUUCUCCCUCCUCUUUCGCCACUUUAGGAAGGUCCUUCCUGAUGCUGUGCUCCCAGCCAAAGAGGGUGACCUUCUCAGAUAAAGCAGCCUCCUUAUUGGCUUUGCCCCUUGCACGCAGGGUUUGUGGGAGCGCCAUCUCCACAAAGCUCUGACUCACCACUAUAUCUGGAAUUAU